GGUUAAGCGACUAAGCGUACACGGUGGAUGCCCUGGCAGUCAGAGGCGAUGAAGGACGUGCUAAUCUGCGAAAAGCGUCGGUAAGGUGAUAUGAACCGUUAUAACCGGCGAUGUCCGAAUGGGGAAACCCAGUGCAAUUCGUUGCACUAUCGUUAACUGAAUACAUAGGUUAACGAGGCGAACCGGGGGAACUGAAACAUCUAAGUACCCCGAGGAAAAGAAAUCAACCGAGAUUCCCCCAGUAGCGGCGAGCGAACGGGGAGCAGCCAGAGUCUGAAUCAGCUUGUGUGUUAGUGGAACGGUCUGGAAAGUCCGACGGUACAGGGUGAUAGUCCCGUACACCAAAAUGCACAGGUUGAACUCGAAGAGUAGGGCGGGACACGUGGUAUCCUGUCUGAAUAUGGGGGGACCAUCCUCCAAGGCUAAAUACUCCUGACUGACCGAUAGUGAACCAGUACCGUGAGGGAAAGGCGAAAAGAACCCCGGCGAGGGGAGUGAAAAAGAACCUGAAACCGUGUACGUACAAGCAGUGGGAGCACCUUCGGGUGUGACUGCGUACCUUUUGUAUAAUGGGUCAGCGACUUAUAUUCUGUAGCAAGGUUAACCGUAUAGGGGAGCCGCAGGGAAACCGAGUCUUAACUGGGCGUUAAGUUGCAGGGUAUAGACCCGAAACCCGGUGAUCUAGCCAUGGGCAGGUUGAAGGUUGGGUAACACUAACUGGAGGACCGAACCGACUAAUGUUGAAAAAUUAGCGGAUGACUUGUGGCUGGGGGUGAAAGGCCAAUCAAACCGGGAGAUAGCUGGUUCUCCCCGAAAGCUAUUUAGGUAGCGCCUCGUGAACUCAUCUUCGGGGGUAGAGCACUGUUUCGGCUAGGGGGUCAUCCCGACUUACCAACCCGAUGCAAACUACGAAUACCGAAGAAUGUUAUCACGGGAGACACACGGCGGGUGCUAACGUCCGUCGUGAAGAGGGAAACAACCCAGACCGCCAGCUAAGGUCCCAAAGUCAUGGUUAAGUGGGAAACGAUGUGGGAAGGCACAGACAGCCAGGAUGUUGGCUUAGAAGCAGCCAUCAUUUAAAGAAAGCGUAAUAGCUCACUGUUCGAGUCGGCCUGCGCGGAAGAUGUAACGGGGCUAAACCAUGCACCGAAGCUGCGGCAGCGACACUAUGUGUUGUUGGGUAGGGGAGCGUUCUGUAAGCCUGCGAAGGUGUGCUGUGAGGCAUGCUGGAGGUAUCAGAAGUGCGAAUGCUGACAUAAGUAACGAUAAAGCGGGUGAAAAGCCCGCUCGCCGGAAGACCAAGGGUUCCUGUCCAACGUUAAUCGGGGCAGGGUGAGUCGACCCCUAAGGCGAGGCCGAAAGGCGUAGUCGAUGGGAAACAGGUUAAUAUUCCUGUACUUGGUGUUACUGCGAAGGGGGGACGGAGAAGGCUAUGUUAGCCGGGCGACGGUUGUCCCGGUUUAAGCAUGUAGGCUGGUUAUCCAGGCAAAUCCGGAUAAUCAAGGCUGAGGUGUGAUGACGAGGCACUACGGUGCUGAAGUAACAAAUGCCCUGCUUCCAGGAAAAGCCUCUAAGCAUCAGGUAACAUCAAAUCGUACCCCAAACCGACACAGGUGGUCAGGUAGAGAAUACCAAGGCGCUUGAGAGAACUCGGGUGAAGGAACUAGGCAAAAUGGUGCCGUAACUUCGGGAGAAGGCACGCUGGUGUGUAGGUGAAGUCCCUGCGGAUGGAGCUGAGACCAGUCGAAGAUACCAGCUGGCUGCAACUGUUUAUUAAAAACACAGCACUGUGCAAACACGAAAGUGGACGUAUACGGUGUGACGCCUGCCCGGUGCCGGAAGGUUAAUUGAUGGGGUUAUCCGUAAGGAGAAGCUCUUGAUCGAAGCCCCGGUAAACGGCGGCCGUAACUAUAACGGUCCUAAGGUAGCGAAAUUCCUUGUCGGGUAAGUUCCGACCUGCACGAAUGGCGUAAUGAUGGCCAGGCUGUCUCCACCCGAGACUCAGUGAAAUUGAACUCGCUGUGAAGAUGCAGUGUACCCGCGGCAAGACGGAAAGACCCCGUGAACCUUUACUAUAGCUUGACACUGAACAUUGAGCCUUGAUGUGUAGGAUAGGUGGGAGGCUUUGAAGCGUGGACGCCAGUCUGCGUGGAGCCAACCUUGAAAUACCACCCUUUAAUGUUUGAUGUUCUAACGUUGGCCCCUGACCGGGGUUGCGGACAGUGUCUGGUGGGUAGUUUGACUGGGGCGGUCUCCUCCCAAAGCGUAACGGAGGAGCACGAAGGUUAGCUAAUCCUGGUCGGACAUCAGGAGGUUAGUGCAAUGGCAUAAGCUAGCUUGACUGCGAGCGUGACGGCGCGAGCAGGUGCGAAAGCAGGUCAUAGUGAUCCGGUGGUUCUGAAUGGAAGGGCCAUCGCUCAACGGAUAAAAGGUACUCCGGGGAUAACAGGCUGAUACCGCCCAAGAGUUCAUAUCGACGGCGGUGUUUGGCACCUCGAUGUCGGCUCAUCACAUCCUGGGGCUGAAGUAGGUCCCAAGGGUAUGGCUGUUCGCCAUUUAAAGUGGUACGCGAGCUGGGUUUAGAACGUCGUGAGACAGUUCGGUCCCUAUCUGCCGUGGGCGCUGGAGAAUUGAGGGGGGCUGCUCCUAGUACGAGAGGACCGGAGUGGACGCAUCACUGGUGUUCGGGUUGUCAUGCCAAUGGCACUGCCCGGUAGCUAAAUGCGGAAGAGAUAAGUGCUGAAAGCAUCUAAGCACGAAACUUGCCCCGAGAUGAGUUCUCCCUGAGACUAUAAGUCUCCUGAAGGAACGUUAAAGACGAUGACGUUGAUAGGCCGGGUGUGUAAGCGCAGCGAUGCGUUGAGCUAACCGGUACUAAUGAACCGUGAGGCUUAACCUU
rnacentral:rRNA from 1 species